rnacentral:rRNA from 1 species
ACGGGUGAGUAACACGUGAGUAACCUGCCCUUGACUCUGGGAUAAGCCUGGGAAACUGGGUCUAAUACCGGAUAUGACCUUCCAUCGCAUGGUGGUUGGUGGAAAGCUUUUGCGGUUUUGGAUGGACUCGCGGCCUAUCAGCUUGUUGGUGGGGUAAUGGCCUACCAAGGCGACGACGGGUAGCCGGCCUGAGAGGGUGACCGGCCACACUGGGACUGAGACACGGCCCAGACUCCUACGGGAGGCAGCAGUGGGGAAUAUUGCACAAUGGGCGCAAGCCUGAUGCAGCGACGCCGCGUGAGGGAUGACGGCCUUCGGGUUGUAAACCUCUUUCAGUAGGGAAGAAGCGUAAGUGACGGUACCUGCAGAAGAAGCGCCGGCUAACUACGUGCCAGCAGCCGCGGUAAUACGUAGGGCGCAAGCGUUAUCCGGAAUUAUUGGGCGUAAAGAGCUCGUAGGCGGUUUGUCGCGUCUGCCGUGAAAGUCCGGGGCUCAACUCCGGAUCUGCGGUGGGUACGGGCAGACUAGAGUGAUGUAGGGGAGACUGGAAUUCCUGGUGUAGCGGUGAAAUGCGCAGA